rnacentral:rRNA from 1 species
CCUACGGGAGGCAGCAGUGAGGAAUAUUGGUCAAUGGGCGUAAGCCUGAACCAGCCAAGUCGCGUGAGGGAUGAAGGUUCUAUGGAUCGUAAACCUCUUUUAUAAGGGAAUAAAGUGCGGGACGUGUCCCGUUUUGUUUGUACCUUAUGAAUAAGGAUCGGCUAACUCCGUGCCAGCAGCCGCGGUAAUACGGAGGAUACGAGCGUUAUCCGGAUUUGUUGGGUUUAAAGGGUGCGUAGGCGGCCUUCUAAGUCAGCGGUGAAAGUCUGUGGCUAAACCAUAGAAUUGCCGUUGAAACUGGGCGGCUUGAGUAUGUGUGAGGCAGGCGGAAUGCGUGGUGUAGCGGUGAAAUGCGUAGAUAUCACGCAGAACCCCGAUUGCGAAGGCAGCCUGCCAAGCCAUGACUGACGCUGAUGCACGAAAGCGUGGGGAUCAAACAGGAUUAGAUACCCGGGUAGUC